CCAUUCUGUCCUGGCCACCAUUAACCCUGGCUGCUGCUGCACUUGAACAUCAAAUAGUCUUAUGUCUGCGUAUCACCUGCUUCUUGAAACUCUGAAAACUAACUAGCCAUAGCUCUGGAGAAAGACAAGAAAGGAACUGGAGAAAACAGCUGGCAGCAUGUUUUGGGGAGAAAUCUGUCAAACGGUACCACAUCUAAAUACAGAAGAACAUAUUUAAUCACUUGGGGAACACUGAAUGAAAGUGUUGAGUGUAUAUCUAUAUAUGGAUUAACAGCUUAAUACUGUGUAUUCAAGAUCCUGCAGAAUCUUUUAGCUCCACAGGGUUAUAAAAAGAAGAAAAUCAAGAACUGAUGAACUUUUGCAUUACAGAAACAUUGUCCUUGGAAGUUUUCCCAAGGAUUUAUUACAAGGAACUGAAGGCAAUAUUAGAGAAAAUUAAUUUCUACUGAGUCAUGAUGACACAAUUAUAAUUUUUCUCCUGAAAAAAGAGACACCUGAAUGAUAUCAGGAAUUUGCACAAGACAUUGCUCUGCUCUCCAUAAAAUAAGUAAUUUGACUUGGAGAUCUAGCAAAGCUUAUGAAAGCCAUAAUUUGCUGAGCAUUUCUCUUUGCCCUAUUACAUUUUCACUUCUGAGGUUUUGUUUUAAUAUGAGGAUUUCUACAACACUAUACAUUUAUUGUUUUGAUAAUUAUUUGAUUAUGUCAGAUCAAGAGAAAUGACUCCUUAUUACAUUAGUAAUACAAUACUCUUCAGAAUAUGUGUUUAAAGGGAAACAUCUAUUGAACUGAAACACGUUUAAUAGCAAUAUUUGAGCAACUGGGGCAGCUACAUCACUGGCCAUGUUGAGAUAAUUAAUAGAUUGAUAUUUUCUUGGUUGUUUUUUAUAUGUGAAUGAAUUUUGAAAGAUUUUAUUUUCUAGGACAUUAAUACCUGAAUGGUUAGAUGUAAAAUCUGAUAGACAUAGCCAAUUUUUCCAUCGUGCAGAAAGAAUAAAAGCAGUACCAGCAAUAUCUAUAACCCACUAAGCCUUCAACAAAAUAGAAAGACCUAAGUCAUGGUAUAUAAAAGAAGCAAAGAAGGACAUUAGUAACUAUUUGUGAUUUGAAGUUAUAACGUUACAACUAUUUUGAAUAUCAAAACCAAAGUCUGAGUGACCAAUAUUUGGCUGUAUGACUUACUGCAUGUUCUCAGCAGGCUUAUUUUAAUUAAUGUUUAAAACUCUGGAAACAGAGCAAUGUAAGUUGCUUCUUAUGAGCUGAACUGCAGGUACUUUCUAUGCUACAUCUCAGGGUCCUGCUGCCUGGUUUUCUAGAUGGCAGAAGUGUUCAGAGGGUGCAGCAGAUUUAAUUUUGUCUGUGUAGCCAGUCUCCUUCCUUUUCUGCAGUCCAAGGUGCAUGGGGAAGAGAGGGGUUGGUCUGCAGCUGUGUCUCACCUGGGCAGUAAGCCAGAAUGUGGCCAUCAUUCUGCUUUAGAGUUGCUGAGAUUAGUUGUAACUAUGAAUAGCUAGGAAGAAAAUGUUAUCAAGAAUCCAGGUAAAAUUCUAUCUUUGUAGCAAUUCAGCUAUAUCUACGUCUUCGUUAGUAUUGACAAUUAUGAAUAACAGAACUGGAGAACCAUGUUGUUUUGGUAUUGUAUGG